rnacentral:rRNA from 1 species
AACGGACGCUGGCGGCAUGCCUAACACAUGCAAGUCGAACGAGACCUUCGGGUCUAGUGGCGCACGGGUGCGUAACGCGUGGGAACCUGCCCUUAGGUUCGGAAUAACUCCCCGAAAGGGGUGCUAAUACCGGAUAAUGUCUUCGGACCAAAGAUUUAUCGCCUUUGGAUGGGCCCGCGUUGGAUUAGCUAGUUGGUAGUGUAAAAGCCUACCAAGGCGACGAUCCAUAGCUGGUCUGAGAGGAUGAUCAGCCACACUGGGACUGAGACACGGCCCAGACUCCUACGGGAGGCAGCAGUGGGGAAUAUUGGACAAUGGGCGAAAGCCUGAUCCAGCAAUGCCGCGUGAGUGAUGAAGGCCUUAGGGUUGUAAAGCUCUUUUACCCGGGAUGAUAAUGACAGUACCGGGAGAAUAAGCGCCGGCUAACUCCGUG